rnacentral:misc_RNA from 1 species
ACUGUUGAUAACAGCAUCAACAAUGACUUGAAUUGGGUUUUGGUCAGUCAACAAAUGAAUGAUCUCCAUUGCAUGCUUAAUAAUACGAACAGCCAUGAGCUUCUUUCCGUUGUUCCUUCCGUGCAUCAUGAGAGAAUUUGUGAGCCUCUCAACGAUUGGGCACUGAGCCUUCCUGAAACGCUUGGCCUGGUAUCUACCAGCUGUGUGUGGCAUGUAAACUGGGUGCUUGUUAGCAGUUGCGGUGAUGUAAUCCUCAACAGACAUGUCAUUGAUCUCAACUCCAUCAUAGCUCCAGCGAUUGAAAAGCAUGACAUCAGUGUGAACCUUAUUCUCUUUGCUUGCAUCGACGGCGGCGGCCGGGGCGGGGGCAGCAACUACACCUGCGUCCAUUUCUUCUUCUACUUCUCUUGCCUGCUCUAAUUCACCUUCCGGGGAGAAGUGUCUUUCUGCUGUAUG